ensembl:lncRNA
AUCUGCUUGGUGACGCAGGAUAUUACACCGGACACUUUUCUUGUACGAUCUCGGGAAAAAUAUAUUUGGUCAGUCGCCGUCUGCUGUAGCUGUGAUUGGUGUCCUGAAAUAGGUCACAAACAAGAAUAUUAGUGAAGUCUUGAUGUUGGGCUACUAAGUACCUGCUGGCUGUAGCCUUAAAUAAACAUGAAAGCAAAAAAGAAGUCAAAAGUGACGAAAAAUGUGACUUGUCAGCAGGUUUGACCAAGUCUUUGCUCGCACACGCAGUCAGAAGGAUCUUCCAAGGUAACGUGUCAAGAACAGAUUCAUUGAUCAAAAGGAAACACCCUGGAUUGGAUACCAAUCCUGUUCAGGUCUAAGGCAGAACCCCUUUAGGC